CGAGCUGAUAUUGCUGUGAUUGCUACUUGACAGUCUGUCAUUCGAUCGUGUACUAUGACCGUGUGGUGUGUAAGCGUCCAGAUGGCACGGCAAUGAGACAGUCAUAAUCAUCAGCCUAUAUUUAUGUGUACUGCAGGACGAAAGCCUCUCCCUGCGAUCUCCAAUCACCCCUGUCUUGAGCUAGCUAAUUCCAACAUGGGCGUGCAAAUUUCCUAACUAAUGAAGUAGUGCCGUGUGACUUUUAUGCUGUGAUCAUGUUGAGCUAGUGCCUACUGGACAAGCGUCGCAGUUUACCGGUGCGCAUUGUAUUGUCGUGCUCGUUUUCUGGUUUCCGAAACAACCAAGGAUGAAGUUCGCUGUGGCCAAAGGAGAACGCAUUGCAUGACGGCUGUCAUGGCAAUCGUGUUCGCGGAACCAAAGCGAGCUGUUGUGUGGUACACCGAAAGGAAUCAGGAGAAGGAACUGGAUUAGUGCAACUUCCGGAUCAGGGUACCGCAGCAAGCAGGGAUUCAAGGGAUUGCCUGGCUACGCAAGGUCCUGGCCUGAAAACCAGCGCAUCAAAAGAAAAACAAAGUGGGAAAAUUACAGCGCCGAUACUCGAGGGCCUCCGACUUCCCGUGCGCAUCCUGGCGCAGCCGACGGCGCUGUGAUAAAUAUAUCAUGAAGACAAUGUUAUGACGUUUCUGAAAUGAUGAAGAUAGUAUAAGACGACAGCGGCGGCAUGACGAGAAUGUGGU